GCAUUCAUUAGCAGUGGAAGGGUGCGCCAAGUCACAGAGGCCGCCGUGCGCAGGAUCUCUUGUCAGUCUCCACUGGAGAGGGUUCCCCAAAACUCGGAGGCUGGGGGCACCCCUGCGAGCUGCAGGUGUGUCGCGGUCAGUGGGAGGGCAGCAGCCCCGGGGUCCUCGGCGGGAGGGGGGGGUGAAGAGGAGGCAGCCGUGGACCGUCCCUCAGGUUGCCGAGGCCCUGUCACCGUGGUGCCGCCGGUGACAGAGGCCGGGGAGGACGAUGGCACUCAUGCAGCUCCCCCUCCGCCGUGAGCCUGGCCCUCCUGACCUACAGGCGCCUCCCCCGCUGGCCCUUUCUUCCAGGUGACCGUGGGGUGCCCCUUCUGCUCCCACUCCAGCCCCCCCCCACGCUGCUCUGGGCCCCGGCCCCCCUCCUCCCGCCUCCCAGCCCUUCCAGCCCAGCCUCUCUCUGUGUACGCUCCUCUGCCUGUUUGAACUGAGGCUUUUAAAGCUUUUUGCUUUUUGAAAACUCAGGGAGGGGAGAGCGGCUUGUGGAGAGGUCGUGAGCAGCUGCUGAUUAUAGUGCAGUGACGAGAGCGAGCUUAAAACAAAUCCCUGUCCAUCAGACGUCGGCUUAGGUGGUUUCCUGUGCUCUCCUGGGGGGCUGGGUGGGGGGCAGCAGCUUAGAGGAAGCGGGGGGGCUCUCUUCCCUUUCAGCUAAAUGAACCUACAAAACUCCCGUCUCAUUCGGGUGUUUGAUCAUUGCUCUCUGCCGCUGGCUCCCUCUGAUCGCACUUCUCCCCGCGGCUGGCGGAGGGGGGGGCAGAGGCCCUGCCCCGUGGGACCCAGGAGGCCGCUCGCUGGCUGUGUGCUCAUGGCCAGGUCACGUGGCACCUCAGACCUCAGUUUCCCCGGGGGGGUAGGGGGAGAGGGGGGCGGUGGCGUCUUGCGGGUGUGAGCCAGCAUUUGCCAGGCAGCCUGCAGAGGUGAAACCCCCGGCCUCACAGCAGCUUCAGAACCGGGCACCAGUUCUGCACCGUCUUGUUUUGGCAGGGGAGGAGAUGAGCUCAGAGAGGUUCGGCUCACUACUCAGGGUCACACAGCUAGUGAGGGAGCCUGGGUGGUCCCACCCGGAUCUGGUCCCUCUGCUCGGUAGCAGUCUUGGAAGGCCCCUGUCUGUCCGCAGGAUGCCACCAUCAGCUGAGAAACCUGGGCUCCUCUGUGAUGUGCCCCCACCUGCCAUUCAGAGUCCUGCCCAGCCCUCCAGCCGGCGGACUCCACUUCUUGUCGUUGCCGUGGCGCGGCCAUGCCUGUCUCUGCUUAGUGCUCAGCCACUGGGGAGGCGUGUAGCCUAACAGCGAAGGGUGCCAGACCCCCGAGUUCCUAGCCUUUCCUCCCUCCUCCUUGCUGUGUGACUUGAGGCAGGGGACCUAACCUCUCUGUGCCAUACUCACCAUCUGGAGCUUGGGGACUGUGGUUCUGCCCUCCUGGGAAUAAAUGCGUCAGUCCGGUUAAUGAUAGUGCCUGUGUGCUGUCGAGUAAAUACGUGGCAACUGCUACUACUUUCUCUUCUAUCUGGAAAGUUCUUCCAGGCUCUCUCUGCCAUCUCCCAUACAAAGCUACCUCCUCCGAGAGGCCCUCCAGUUUCCACCCAGCCAUAGAUCUUCUCUCCUGCCCCCUCCUGUCUUCAUGGCCCAUGUUAUUUUUUUCUAGAUGGAAUCCACACCUUUGUACCUAUUUUCUGUCUUCUAUCAGGAGUUGUGUGAGGAAAGAUGCUUUUCCUCUCAUGUCAGUCUCCCGAGUGGCUGAGUAUGCAGUAGGUGUCCAUUACAUGCUCGUCGGGUGACUAGAGGGCGACCCUUCUGCUGGUGAGACCAAUCAGUGUUUGGUCCCACUUCCUCCAUGAGCAGUGGGUGCUUGGCUUGGACGAAUACUGGGCUAACACCCAACUCGAGGCAGACCCGCGGGGAAGCCUUCGGAAGGUUUCCAGGUCCCCCUGGUGUUGGUGAGGCCUGGGGCCAGGAGGUCAGGCUCACAUCUGGACCACUGGCCAGCUGUGGGGACAGUUGGAACAGGGCCUUCUGGGUGGACCGUGUGUGGUCAGCUAUUGGAAGGAUGUGGGAUCCCCCGGCCAGGUUGGAUUAACCCAGCUGCUGGCUGCUCUGCAAGGGGCUGGGUGCUGGGGGGCCAGGUGCUGUCCUCGUGGGUUGAAGUCGGAGCCUGGGAGAGUGGAGGACACAGCCUUGGUGGUUGGAUUACUCCCAAAGUGGGGUCCUGGGGAACCCCCAGGGGUGGCUGGUGCCCGUCUGAAUACCAUGGCCCCUGGCCACCACUGCCAGCUCUGAUGGACCCAGAGCAGGCUUCUGCCCUGAGAUUCUGUGACCUCAAAGGGGCCCUGAUGGUGGACACGGGCAGCUGAGCCUGUCAGUCCUUGGGUCAGCACCUGUGAGAGGUGGGGGUGCCCCUUGGCACCCCUUUAGAGAGAGCCACAUGGCCACACCUGUGCCAGUGAUGCAGUCGCCCAGGGGGUGGUGGCAUCUGUGCUUUGGUUUUUGGGUAAAAAGUGAACCAGGCAGGCCUUGUCCAGGUUUGCAUGUAGGUCUUGCCCUGUUUGGAAAGAGUCGCCCUGGACGCCCUGGGCCAAGAAGGAGAGGUGGAUUAACAAGUGGGUCCCAGAGUUCCCGUCGUGGCUCAGUGGUUAUCAAGCCUGACUAGGAUCCAUGAGGUUGUGGGUUCGAUCCCUGGCCUUGCUCAGUGGGUGAAGGAUCCGGUGUUGUCGUGAGCUGCGUUGUAGGCCUCAGAUGCAGCUUGGAUCUGAUGUGGCUGUAGCUCUGUGGUGUAGGCCAGCAGCUGUAGCUCCAUUUGACCUCUAGCCUGGGAACCUCUAUAUGCUGCAAGUUCAGCCUUAAAAAAAAACAAACAACCCCCCCCCAAAAAAAAAGUGGGGAUGAGCCAGUAGCUGAAUUGCUGGGCCUGCCCUCCCAUGGGCAGGAGUUUGGCCCUUGCUCUGUAACGUGGGUCCCUGUGUUUCUACGCAGGCCUGGCCUAGCGUUAGGAGCUCCAGCCUGGAGCCAGACAACCUGGGUUUGCGUCUGGAUCUGCCUCUUAUUGGCUGUGUGCCCUUGGGGAAGACGCUUAACCUCUCUGUGCUGUCGUUUCCUCUGCUAUAGAAGGAGAAGUAAUAAUAGCACCUGUCUUGUGCUAGGGAGCUAUUGCCGUGUCACAAACCUCCCCUCUGUACUUCCUAAGGGUGUCGGCCUAAGUGGUUGAUGUGUGUAAAUUGUGCCCAGCACACGGAGAUGCCCUACUAACCAUUAGCUCUCCCCGAGCUGGUCCCCGAGAAAUCCUUCACAUCUAAAAUGAUCCAGGGGGUCUCUGCUGUGGCUUAGUGGGUUACGACUCCGACUGCAGCAGCUAAGCUCGCUGCAGAGGUGUGGGUUCCGUUCCUGGCCUGGCGCAGUGGAUUAAAGGAUCCAGUGUUGGUUUCGAUUCAACCCCUGGCCGGGAAACUCCCAUAUGCCGUGGGUACAGCCCUUAAAAAUAAAUACGUACAAAUAAAGUGACACGGGGUGCUGGCGGAGAGUGUGUGGAGGGGAUCAGAGGGUCUGGGGUCGUAGCCGCUUCCUCCCUGCCCAGCCUCUGGUGUUCAGUGACCCUUGACCUUUGAAGCCCGUUCCCUCCCUUUCUGCCUGCAUCCUGGCCUCCAGACCCCAUCGCGUGCUGGGCUGCCUCUCACCUGCCCUGUCACCUGUGUGGCUGUGUUCAGGGGUCCUGGGACCACAGGGCGGGGGGUACCCUGGAGGAGCAGGAAGAAUCCAGGGGCAGACCUUUCUGGGGCCUCUGCCUCCCCGGUUCCACGAGGACGGGCUGGACCGGCUCUUCCCGGGACCGUCGCGCCAGGGUCACGGGCUCAGCGACUCAGAUCUGGGGGCAGGUGAGCUGCCCUUCCGAGCCCGUGGGAAGACCUGGUCCAUGGCCUCAUGUCAGAGGACCUCCGGCCAGGGAAUGUCUCUUUCGUCCUCUGCUCCCAUCCCCUUCCUGCCACGCUGUCGUCGAGAACAGAGACGGCACUUGCCUGUCUGCUGACAGCUCUGGAAGGAGAGUGGGGUAGCGCUCGGCUUGGGGUGCUGGGGACACGACACGUCAUCUGUGCUGCGGCAAACAGUGUCUCCCAAGAUUCAUGCCCACCUGGGACCUUGGAAUGUGACCUUAGUUGGAAAUAAGCUGUUGGCCAAGGAUGCUGAGAUGCAGCGUCCUUGUGUGGGUGGGUCCUCGCUCUGGUGCCUGACCUGAUGCCUGGGGAAGAUGCCACGCAAAGGCGGAGGCAGAGGCUGGAGGGAGGUGGCCAUGAGUCAAAGAUGCCUGGAGCCCCGGGAGGUGGAGGAGCCAAGGAAGGGACCUCCCCAGAGCCCCGGGGGCAGUGAGCCCCGCCAUCACCUGAUUUCAGACUUGCAGUUGGUCGCUAGGACUGUAGGAGAAUCUAUUCACUUGUUUUAAGCCCCACCCCUGCCUCCGGAUUGUAGUCAUUUGUUAUUACAGCCCCAGGACAGUAACACACCAUCAGCCCUGCCCUCGUAUAUAUUUUAAAAUAUAAUAAGAAUACCACUUAUGGGAGUUCCCGUUGUGGCUUAGUGGUUAUCGAAUCCAACUAGGAACCAUGAGGUUUCGGGUUCGAUCCCUGGCCUCGCUCAGUAGGUUAAGGAUCCGGCGUUGCCCUGAGCUGUGGUGUAGGUUGCAGACGCGCUUGGAUCCCGUGUUGCUGUGGCUCUGGCGUAGGUGGGUGGCUACAUCUCCGAUUGGACCCCUAGCCUGGGAACCUCCAUAUGCCGCGGGAGCAGCCCUAGAAAUGGCAAAAAGACAAAAAAAAAAAAAAAAAAAGGAAUACCGUCUAAUGUUGCUUCAAGGACUCCCGCUGUUGUGGGGCACCUGAGAGAAUACGGAUCAACUUUGGGGACCUGGAGGCUGGGAACCCCCGCUUGAUCUCUCUGGGUUCCAGCUCAGGCGGGAGGCAUGAGCUGGCCUGGUGGGAAGGAAGGCCUCUCCAGGCGGAAGUGGGCACAGCAGCAGGCCAGGCUCCGCCCAGUAGUGCCCUGGUUGUCACCUGUGUGCAGGAGGAAGGGAUGCUCAAGAUAGGCGGGGGCUGGCGGGGGGUAGCCAGGGCCGUCCACCUGUCCCUCUGCAUCCCCUCCUGCAGCCCUGUCUCUUCCACCCUCGGGUCCCCCCUUGGCCUCGCUCUGGGUCAAGGCUCACGGCACUGGGGUCCACAGGACCCCCUCCCCCGCCACGUUCAAUUGUAUGUCACCUCCCACCUUCUCCCGGAAGGUUGGCCAUGUGAGCCAGCUGGUCUGUUCACUGCUGUAUCCCCAGCACCCAGAACAUGCUGGAACCAGUUGGCGCCUGAAUCCUUGGCUGACUUGAGAGGACCUGCGGGGCCGGCGGGGUAUCUGCCCGCCUCUCCUGACCUGACCUCACCCCCCGCGCAUCAGCCUGCAGCAUCUAACUCAUGCCUGCCCAGCAGCUGGGGGACCAGCUGCAGGCAGCCCCGGGCCGAUGUGGAACCUGAGGCUGAGCAGGUCAGGGCUUGCCUGGGGCGGCGGCCGGGGCCAGAGCUGGCAUCUGAAGUUGCCCUGUGGGGUCAGAGCCACAGCACAGACCUCCUUGCCUGGCCGCUAUGCCCUGCGACGCCCCGGACGCUGGCUGUGCCCUGUCACCUUGCUGGGCUGCUGAAGUCCUCACACUGUGACGCACACCUGCCAGAACUGGGGUCUCUCGGGGCAGGAAAGCUGUCCCGCCUGCCGAGUCUCAGAGUAGGAGGUCAGGGAGGCCCCCUGGGCGCCCUGGGAGGGGCCACACCUCAUUCUGCUCCCCGGGGGGGUGCGUGGGGCUGGGGGGGGCCCACCCAUGGCCACGAGGCCAUCCCUGCCCCCACCGCCCCAGCCACCAGCGUGAAGAAACCCUGGUGACCCAGUCAAUGUUUCUUUUAAUUAGAGACAAUUAAAAGAGUGCGGCGGGUGGCAGUUUGGUAGCUUCUUUAGGAGAAAGCAGAGAGCCCAAACGGAACCUAAAAAAAUAAAGAUAAAAUAAAACCCA
ensembl:lncRNA